UGGUGGAGUGAUUUGUCUGGUUAAUUCCGUUAACGAACGAGACCUCGACCUGCUAAAUAGUUCGGCGAGCUCUUCUGGGUUCGUUCGCGACUUCUUAGAGGGACAAUUCAUGUUUAGUGAAGUGAAGUGAGCUCAUAACA
rnacentral:rRNA from 1 species